rnacentral:lncRNA from 1 species
GGAGAAUCCCUUGAACCUGGGAGGUGGAGGUUGCAGUGAGCCGAGAUCGUGUCAUUCCACUCCAACCUGGGCCACAGAGUGAGACUCCGUCUCAAAAAACAAAACAAAACAAAACAAACAACCUAUAUUCAAAUGCAAAGGAAAGAGGGAAAGACUUUUAAAAAGAAAAAAAAAGACCAACAUAUAAUAAAUUACGAAUGUCAUAUGGCAGCAAGCUCUUCAUGUUACUUUCCUUUCCAUUUAGACCCAGUUAAUGUAUCUAUAUUACGUAUGUUUAAUGUGUAUGGACACACACACACACACACACACACACACACACCAUAAAAGAUUAAGAAGUAUGCCUAAAUUUUAAGUGGUAUGAUUUAUAUUUUUUUCAUACUUUUAUUUUCUAAAUUUUCCAGUUAUUACUCUUAGAAAGUUAGAAAGUUAGAGACCAAAAAAACCAAUUCCCUUAUAAUUAUAUAUAUAUAAUGAUUCCCCAAAGCCUCUUAUUUUGAGUUCUUUCUUUGUAUUCAUUUUCAGGCAAUAUUUAUUGAGUGUCUAGUCUGUGCCUGAAAUGUAUUUUAUAUGAACUUCUCUUAUAACAAGAUGUUCUUAUGUCUUAUUUAUAUUCUCAUAGUCUCCCCUGAACCUGAUUAUAAACAGCAUUUUUCUUUUUCUUGUUUUUUCUUUUUCAAUCAUUUGUUGAAUAUCACCCAUGUGUUGGUCACUCUUUUAGGAAGGCAUUAAAAAGAAAUGUGACAGAAAGUUAGCACUGUCCCUAUUGCAGGGGAGAGAUAAGCAUGUAAAUACCAAAACCGGGCCAAGAAGCUUGAUAUAGAAAUGUGCACCAUGCUACCCCACUCAAAGGAGAGAAAGAACUAACUAUCAGAGAGAACUGGGGAGAAACUUUUCUACAGAGGUGACAUUUCAACUAGGCCUUGAAUGACAGGUCAAAUGAUCUUAGAUGAAAAGGGAGGAGGGGGCUGGUGAGAAGGAAGAGGCUGGCAGGGGAGGAGGAGGCUGGCAGAAGAGGGGGAGACUGGCAGGGAAGAGGGGGGUGGCAGGACAGAAGGUUGGCAGGGAGGAGGAAGCUGACAGGAGAGGAGGAGGUUGGUAGGGAGAAAGAGGCUGGCAGGAAGGAGGAGGCUUGCAGGGAGCAGGAGGCUGGCAGGAGAGGAGGAGGUUGGCAGGGAGAAAGAGGCUGGCAGGAGAGGAGGAGGUUGGCAGGGAGGAGGAGGCUGGCAGGAGAGGAGGCGGCCGAUGGGGGAGGAGGAGGCUGGCAGAGAGAAAGAGGCUGGGCAGGGAGGAGGAGGUUGGCAGGGAGGAGGCGGCUUGCAGAUGAGAAGGCUGGCAGGUACUACAAUCUGGUUUUGAAGUUGCCCAAAGAAACUUGAAUGGCUUCCUCUUUCAUUCCCACAAGGCUCUGAAAACACUGCUGCUGAUCCGCUGUCUUCACUCCUAUCUCACCCUGGCAUAACUGCACUCUACUCAAACUCUAUCUGGAAGGAGCAGAGCUCAGGGGUUCUGACCCCACAGAAUGGGCUCCAGGCACUAAGAGCUGAACAACACAGAACACCUGUUCCAUGUCGAGUUGGUUAUCAUUUUAUACUUUUCUAAAAACCUCAAGGAAGAUCUUCAACAUAAGCCCUGGCAUAAGACAUUUUCUAUGUAUUCAAAAUAAGAAAAGGAAAUGGUGAAUAUAUUGACAAGUAGCAAUUUGAAUUAUAAUGAC